rnacentral:rRNA from 1 species
UACGUAGGGGCCGAGCGUUGUCCGGAGUUAUUGGGCGUAAAGCGCGCGCAGGCGGCUCAUUGCGCCCGGCGUGAAAGCCCCCGGCUCAACCGGGGAGGGUCGUCGGGGACGGGUGAGCUUGAGGGUAUCAGGGGUUGGUGGAAUUCCCGGUGUAGUGGUGAAAUGCGUAGAGAUCGGGAGGAACACCCGUGGCGAAGGCGGCCAACUGGGAUACACCUGACGCUGAGGCACGAAGGCGUGGGGAGCGAACGGGAUUAGAUACCCGUGUAGUCCCUGAGCGGGCUGGCAAGG